rnacentral:rRNA from 1 species
UGAAUACGAGAUGCUACGGCGUCGAAGCAGUCUAUGUCAUACUUCCAAGAAAAGCUCGCACUGUCAUAAACAAAUAAUGCCUGUACCAUAACCGACACAGGCGGGUAGGUAGAGUACACUAAGGGGCGCGAGAUAACUCUCUCUAAGGAACUCGGCAAAAUGACUCCGUAACUUCGGGAGAAGGAGUGCCUUAUUUAUAAGGUUGCAAUAACAAGAUCCAAGCAACUGUUUAUCAAAAACACAGGUCUCCGCUAAGUCGUAAGACGAUGUAUGGGGGCUGACGCCUGCCCAGUGCCAGAAGGUUAAAGAAGUUGGUUAGCAUUCGCGAAGCUGAUAACUGAAGCCCUGGUGAACGGCGGCCGUAACUAUAACGGUCCUAAGGUAGCGAAAUUCCUUGUCGGGUAAGUUCCGACCCGCACGAAAGGCGUAAUGAUUUGGAUACUGUCUCGGAGAGGGGCUCGGUGAAAUAGACUUGUCUGUGAAGAUGCGGACUACCUGCACCAGGACAGAAAGACCCUAUGAAGCUUUACUGUAACUUGAGAUUGAAAUUGGACUUUACUUGCGCAGUAUAGGUGGGAGGCGUUGAUAAUAUUCUUGCGGGAUUAUUUGAGCCAUCAGUGAGAUACCACUCUUGUAAUGUUAGAUUUCUAACUUUGUAUCAUUAUCUGGUCAAAGGACAGUUUCAGGCGGGCAGUUUGACUGGGGCGGUCGCCUCCUAAACGGUAACGGAGGCGCACAAAGGUUUCCUCUGAACGGGUAGAAAUCGUAUCUAGAGUGUAAAGGCAUAAGGAAGCUUGACUGUGAGACCUACAAGUCGAGCAGGGACGAAAGUCGGUCUUAGUGAUCUGACGGUGCUGAGUGGAAAGGCCGUCACUCAACGGAUAAAAGUUACUCUAAGGAUAACAGGCUGAUCUCCCCCAAGAGUUCACAUCGACGGGGAGGUUUGGCACCUCGAUGUCGGCUCAUCGCAUCCUGGGGCGGUAGUACGUCCCAAGGGUUGGGCUGUUCGCCCAUGAAAGCGGUACGCGAGCUGGGUUCAGAACGUCGUGAGACAGUUCGGUCCAUAUCCGGUGUAGGCGUUAGAAUAUUGAGAGGAGCCUUCUUUAGUACGAGAGGACCGAGAAGGACAUACCUCUGGUGUACCAGUUAUCGUGCCAACGGUAAACGCUGGGUAGCUAUGUAUGGAGUGGAUAACCGCUGAAAGCAUCUAAGUGGGAAGCCCACCUCAAGAUAAGUAUUCAC